GAUGAACGCUGGCGGCGUGCCUAAUACAUGCAAGUCGAGCGAACGGACGAGAAGCUUGCUUCUCUGAUGUUAGCGGCGGACGGGUGAGUAACACGUGGAUAACCUACCUAUAAGACUGGGAUAACUUCGGGAAACCGGAGCUAAUACCGGAUAAUAUUUUGAACCGCAUGGUUCAAAAGUGAAAGACGGUCUUGCUGUCACUUAUAGAUGGAUCCGCGCUGCAUUAGCUAGUUGGUAAGGUAACGGCUUACCAAGGCGACGAUGCAUAGCCGACCUGAGAGGGUGCUCGGCCACACUAGAACUGAGACCCCGUCCAGACUCCUACGGGAGGCAGCAGUAGGGAAUCUUCCGCAAUGCGCGAAAGCCUGACGGACCAACCCCGCGUGAGUGAUGAAGGUCUUCGGAUAGUAAAACUCUGUUAUUAGGGAAGAACAUAUGUGUAAGUAACUGUGCACAUCUUGACCGUACCUAAUCAGAAAUCCACCGCUAACUUCUUC
rnacentral:rRNA from 1 species